UGGGGAAUAUUGGGCAAUGGGCGAAAGCCUGACCCAGCGACGCCGCGUGGGUGAUGAAGGCCUUCGGGUUGUAAAGCCCUGUCAUGCGGAAAGAACGACCCUGAGACGCAUACUCUCAGGGAGUGACGGUACCGCAGGAGGGAGCACCGGCUAACUCCGUGCCAGCAGCCGCGGUAAUACGGAGGGUGCAAGCGUUGUUCGGAAUUAUUGGGCGUAAAGGGCGCGUAGGCGGUAAUGUAAGUCAGAUGUGAAAUACUCCGGCUCAACCAGAGAACAGCAUCUGAAACUGCAUAACUAGAGUACAGAAGAGGGAAACGGAAUUCCCGGUGUAGAGGUGAAACUCGUAGAUAUCGGGAGGAACACCAGUGGCGAAGGCGGUUUCCUGGUCUGAUACUGACGCUGAGGCGCGAAAGCGUGUGGAGCAAACAG
rnacentral:rRNA from 1 species